rnacentral:rRNA from 1 species
CCCUGAUGCACAAGGUACCAAAAUGUGCUUUUCAAAUUUUACAAUUUUCAAAUUUUCAUUUUUCCUUUACAGUUUUUUAAAAAAACCUUUUUUACAAAAAUACAAAUUUUAAUAAAAAUUUAUUCUUUUUUAUCUCGAUUGUUUCUUUUUUAUAAAAA